rnacentral:misc_RNA from 1 species
AAUUCAGCACAAAACUAUAGUCAUGAUAUUUCACAAAUCACGGCUAAAUAAAAAAAUCGUGUUGAUUUAUCGUUUAUUUGCUUUUGUUUUUCAAAGAUAUUAACGUGGAAGUGAUUAGAAGCUAGUCGUUCCGAAGUUAUUUUAUUACACUGUACGUGCGUACGCAGAGGCGUAAUGACUUGGCGAUAUUACAAUGGGCUGACUCUCUCACUCUCACUCAGUGUCCGUAAGUUCCAAAUAUCUCUCUCGCACUCACGGAGCUGACGUCGCGACGCUACUCAUUGUCAGUUUAAAAACGCAAAACGAUCCGGGUCCCAGUAUUUUUGUCAUUUUCACCAUCAAACUUUGCACAUUAUUGAUCCUUCGAGCCGGAUACUGGAUAGUUUCGUUCAAAUUUAUCGCGUAAAAAAUACUGAGAGUGAGUUUUGUGCAAUUCCGCUAAUCUUGUGCGCGUUUGGCAACUCCGACACAUCGCUGAAGUACCUGAAAAGUGUACUGCGUUUGUGGAAGGAUAGAUUGGGACUUUCGGUGCGAAAAUCUACCUGUGUCAUUUGUGUGCGCGUCGUAACUACUGAUUAUUGGAGCCAAAUAUCUACUCAAGGUCAUCGUGCUUUAUCUUCAUCGCCCCGAUCACGCAGGAGGAUCCAAAUAAAUUGUUAUUACG